AAAAAAAAUUUUUUAUUGAGAUAUAUUUCACAGACCAAAAGAAAUCCACCCAUUUAUCACAUACAAUUAAGUGAUUUUGAGUAUAUUCAGAAUUGUGCAACCAUUACCAAAAUGUAAAUUUAAAUUGUUUUCGGCCAGGCUCGGCGGCUCACUCCCAUAACUCCAGCAAUUUGGGAGACCAAGGUGGGAGCAUCAUUUGAACUAAGGAGUUUGAGAAAAGCCUGGGCAACAUAGUGAGACCCUAUCUCUAUGAAAAAUAAAAAUAUUAAUAAUUUUCAUCACCCUGAAAAUAAACUCCUGACUACAUAUACCCUCCACUCUAUCCCCCAGUCUCUAGCAACCACUAAUCUUUCUGCCUCUAUAGAUUUACCUGUUUUGGACAUUUAAUAUAAGUAGAUAGUAUUGGCCUUUUGCAGCUAGGUUCUUUUACUUAGUAUAACGUUUUCACCGUUAUUGUGCCGUAGCACGUGUCAGUACUUCAUUCCUUUUUAUUGUAGAUUAAUAUUUCAUUUUAUGGACAAACAUUUUGUGCAUCCAUUACACAGCUGACAAAGGACAUUUUGGUUGAUUCUACUUUUUGGCUAUUACGAAUAAUGCUGCUAUGAAUAUUUGUGUGUAAAUAUUUGCGUGGACAUAUAUUUUCAUUUCUUUUGGGUAUAUAUCUAAGCGUGGACUUGCUGGGUCACACGGUAACCUCCAUGUUCAAUAUUGAAGAAGUCUCAGCAGCCCCUCUAUGAGAAAAGGUUUGGGUUUCUGCUCUGAGGAUUGAGUGUGGUCAGUGCUUGGCUGUUUCGCUAGGCCCUCAUUUUUGUUUACACCCCCUCUCUUCUUGUCUUUCUUCCCCUUUAUUUGCCUCUUUUAUUCUCUUUUCUGUAGACUCCAGUCUCCUGCUGGUUUUAGUAGGAACUGAAGCUUUCACCGCCUAAAAGUUAUUUGUAAAACACUUUGAACUCUCUGGAGGAUGGACAUUAGAGUAAUAAUGUUUAUCUGUGGGUUAGGCACUCCUGGUGCUGUUUUGUAACAAAAGGGCUUAUUGAGUAGGAGGCUUAUUUAACUUGUUCGGGAGGGUUACCCUCCUACAACAUGCUGUCCAAACAGAUUCUUAAUUACCCAGCUGAGAGUCUGAACGUCUUGAGGAAUUACUUUGAAGUUUCUCGUUAAUAUUACCAUCAUAUCAUGUAAGUCUAUAUCGCGAGUUUGUAGAUGUAUGGAGUUCCUAGUGGGUGCCCGGCACAUAAUAAUUGCUUAAUAAAUUGCGAUUAUGAAACGUUACUCUAAUGAACUAUUAGUGUUUUUUUUUAAGAAAUACUUUUUUUUUUUUUUGAGACAUUGUCUCGCUCUGUCGCCCAGGCUGGAGUGCAGUGGCACCAUCACGACUCACUGCAACCUCCGCCUCCUGGGUUCAAGCGAUUCUCCUGCCUCAGCUGGGACUACAGGCACGUGCCACCGCACCCGGGUACUUUUUGUAUUUUAAGUAGAGACGGGGUUUCACCAUGUUAGCCAGCUGGUCUCCAACUCCUGACCUCAGGUGAUCUACCCGCCUCCGUCUCCCAAAGUGUUGGGAUUACAGGCGUGAGCCACCACGUCCGGCCUAAGGUAUACAUUUUAAUACUUUAAAAUGCCUAACUUUUUUUGGGACACACUGGAGUUGUUUCAUAACACACAAAAUAGGCUUUUUGAGGGCACUGACAUAAAUUCUCAUUGAUCGUCACCCCCACGCGGUGAAAACCACACGUUACCUGGCAUGUUUUCCGGUAGUUAUUUUUAGAAUAAUAAAGAUCGUCUUCACCUACCCCAGCAAAUUUAAUGUGCUGAACACAACAGAAACAACUUUUCUGUGGUUUAGCCAGCCCUCUCUCUUCAACUAAGUUAUUUAGUGCGGAUACGCAGAGAAGUGUAAUAGGAGCUGCUGGGCCACCAAGAAAACGCUCUUGCCAUUGUAAGGCUUCGAUCUCAAGCGGAGAUUUACCACGCAUCUCACUUUAAACUGGGAAAGGAACCGGGAUAAGGAAAAGAGCCCCCUGUGCGAGUUCGUUCCCAGCUCGGGGUUGGGGGCGUCCCAGGAUAAAUGAGAUAAAUGAGUUAAUCAUCUCCUGCAAGGCAGCCACUUCAGAGUUAUGUCGCCCGCCUGCGGGGACUAACGACUGCAAUUAAGACGCUCCUUCUCGGUCCCGGUCGGGUUCCGUGCAGCGGGGAGCCGACUGUGAGUCACCCCGGCCCCGGGAGCCCAAGCAAAGGGGAGGGGAGAGCGCCCAGGGUGGAGGGGAGCCGCGGGGCGAAAUUCUAGCCCCAGGACGCCUCGGAAGGAAGAGGAGGGGCAGCUGCGCGUGGGGAAGAGAAGGAAGAGG
rnacentral:lncRNA from 1 species